rnacentral:rRNA from 1 species
GACGAACGCUGGCGGCGUGCUUAACACAUGCAAGUCGAACGGAAAGGCCCUGCUUUUGUGGGGUGCUCGAGUGGCGAACGGGUGAGUAACACGUGAGUAACCUGCCCUUGACUUUGGGAUAACUUCAGGAAACUGGGGCUAAUACCGGAUAGGAGCUCCUGCUGCAUGGUGGGGGUUGGAAAGUUUCGGCGGUUGGGGAUGGACUCGCGGCUUAUCAGCUUGUUGGUGGGGUAGUGGCUUACCAAGGCUUUGACGGGUAGCCGGCCUGAGAGGGUGACCGGCCACAUUGGGACUGAGAUACGGCCCAGACUCGUACGGGAGGCAGCAGUGGGGAAUAUUGCACAAUGGGCGGAAGCCUGAUGCAGCAACGCCGCGUGCGGGAUGACGGCCUUCGGGUUGUAAACCGCUUUCGCCUGUGACGAAGCGUGAGUGACGGUAAUGGGUAAAGAAGCACCGGCUAACUACGU